rnacentral:rRNA from 1 species
GGGUGCGUAACACGUGAGUAAUCUGCCGGGAAGUGGGGGAUAACUCGCCGAAAGGCGAAUUAAUACCGCAUAUGGCCAGGGAGGACAUCCUCCCGAAGCCAAAGUCGCAAGACGCUUCCUGAUGAGCUCGCGGCCUAUCAGCUAGUUGGUGAGGUAACGGCUCACCAAGGCUAUGACGGGUAGCUGGUCUGAGAGGACGACCAGCCACACUGGAACUGAGACACGGUCCAGACACCUACGGGUGGCAGCAGUCGAGAAUUUUUCACAAUGGGGGAAACCCUGAUGGAGCGACGCCGCGUGGAGGAUGAAGGUUUUCGGAUUGUAAACUCCUGUCAAAUGGGAACAAGAAAGUGAUAGUACCAUUAGAGGAAGAGACGGCUAACUCUGUGCCAGCAGCCGCGGUAAUACAGAGGUCUCAAGCGUUGUUCGGAUUCAUUGGGCGUAAAGGGUGCGCAGGCUGUGGGGUAAGUCGGAUGUGAAAUUUAGGGGCUCAACCUCUAAACUGCAUUCGAUACUGCUCCGCUAGAGGUAUGUAGAGGAGAUUGGAAUUCACGGUGUAGCAGUGAAAUGCGUAGAUAUCGUGAGGAAGACCAGUGGCGAAGGCGAAUCUCUGGGCAUUACCUGACGCUCAUGCACGAAGGCCAGGGGAGCAAACGGGAUUAGAUACCCCGGUAGUCCUGGCAGUAAACGGUGCACGUUU